rnacentral:rRNA from 1 species
UACAGAGGUCUCAACCGCUGUUCGGAUUCAUUGGGCGUAAAGGGUGCGUAGGCGGUCGCGCAAGUCGGAUGUGAAAUCUCAGGGCUCAACCCUGAAACUGCAUUCGAUACUGCGUGGCUAGAGUGCUGGAGAGGAGACUGGAAUUUACGGUGUAGCAAUGAAAUGCGUAGAUAUCGUAAGGAAGACCAGUGGCGAAGGCGAGUUUUCUGGACAGUAACUGACGCUGAGGCACGAAGGCCAGGGGAGCAAACGGG